rnacentral:rRNA from 1 species
CAGUAGCCGCGGUAAUACGAAGGGUGCAAGCGUUAAUCGGAAUUACUGGGCGUAAAGCGUGCGUAGGCGGUGAGUUAAGUCUGCUGUGAAAUCCCCGGGCUCAACCUGGGAAUGGCAGUGGAUACUGGCUCGCUAGAGUGUGUCAGAGGAUGGUGGAAUUCCCGGUGUAGCGGUGAAAUGCGUAGAGAUCGGGAGGAACAUCAGUGGCGAAGGCGGCCAUCUGGGACAACACUGACGCUGAGGCACGAAAGCGUGGGGAGUAAACAGGAUUAGAUACCCCAGUAGUCCCUGUCUCUUAUAC